rnacentral:rRNA from 1 species
AUUGAACGCUGGCGGCAGGCCUAACACAUGCAAGUCGGGCAGUAACAGGAAUCAGCUUGCUGAUUCGCUGACGAGCGGCGGACGGGUGAGUAAUGUCUGGGAAACUGCCUGAUGGAGGGGGAUAACUACUGGAAACGGUAGCUAAUACCGCAUAACGUCUUCGGACCAAAGUGGGGGACCUUCGGGCCUCAUGCCAUCAGAUGUGCCCAGAUGGGAUUAGCUAGUAGGUGGGGUAACGGCUCACCUAGGCGACGAUCCCUAGCUGGUCUGAGAGGAUGACCAGCCACACUGGAACUGAGACACGGUCCAGACUCCUACGGGAGGCAGCAGUGGGGAAUAUUGCACAAUGGGCGCAAGCCUGAUGCAGCCAUGCCGCGUGUAUGAAGAAGGCCUUCGGGUUGUAAAGUACUUUCAGCGGGGAGGAAGGUGUUGUGGUUAAUAACCGCAGCAAUUGACGUUACCCGCAGAAGAAGCACCGGCUAACUCCGUGCCAGCAGCCGCCGCCGUAA